AAAUCUAAAGCGAAAGAUCAGGGACUGUUUUGGGCCUUUGAUCCUAUUUUUUUAAGUCAGUUCAUCCCUCUGCAGUCUGCACUUGUCCACCAGGAGAGCUCGCCGCGAAGCGCCUGAAAAAGUGCUUCGUCAUAGCCGAAGCGCUUGGCGUUUGAGAAGAUGCUCCGGUUCAACAAUGUUUCACUGAAUCUGAAUGUUCAUCAUUAUAAUUUGUUGCUUUAUUUGUUGGUUAAAAUUAGGGUUCAACUUCGGUUUCCCACAAAUAACAAAAUUGGUGGAGUGCUUCUUUCAAGUCCCAGUAUUUGAGUUUUCAUGUUUCACGCAUAGAGGUGAAAGAAUGUUGGAUUAGCUUUCAAGGUGCACCUCGUCCAGGAGUGGCUAAAGAAUCCAUUUGAUAUAGUGGUAGAAGGUGCAAAUGCUGGCCUCACUAAUCAACGUAAUUGUAAUUUCUCCCAGGAGUCGGAGCAAGGUAGCUGGCAUGUGCUGACUGUUAUCAGGGAUGACCUUGAAAAGCCAAGAGUACAGUGAUCCUAUGCUACCAGGAGAAGAGCACUGCAUUCGCUAUUUCACUGAACUAGAGAAUCAACCUAGUCACCUAUAAAUUGGUAGGCUUACAAAAGUUGAAGGCAACCAUGGGAGUAUAUCUUUUAAUCGUAGUCCUUAUAGAUUGUUCUUUUGAUUAUUUUUCAUGUUCAUCACUUGAAAAGAUAAAUGAAGUUAUGCCCGAUAACUGCUAUGGAGUUUGGAAGGAGGGGAUGGGUUUAAGAGAUUCACACAGGCUUCCAGGUGGAUAUGAAUUUAGCAAGGAUAAGUAACAUAACAAAGUUUGCAAUGUGAUCAUAUUUUUAAGGUGCUUAACUUAAAAUUCAAAAAAAAAAACACAGUUAGGUUCUGAUCUAUGGCUGUGUAAAACUAUUCGUCGGUAUGUUUGGGAUUAGUAAUUUCAGGGACAUAAGUUGCAUUCACUUUGUUGUUGGUAAUCGCCUCGGUGAAUGUCUUGUCGCGCUUUCAGGACUUGACUCUUAUGGGAUGUUGCUCCAACUCUUUCUAUGGGUUAGUCAACUUCCUUGCAUAUCAUGUAAAACCAUAGAAUGAGGUUUGUAGCAAUUAUUUAGUUCAAGUCAUGUCAAUCCUUGCAAUUCAUAAUUAAUAUAACAACUUGAC